AGCUCCAAAAAAAAGAACCAAAAAGAAAAAAAAAAAAAAAAAAAAAAACCAAGGUGAUCACCACUUUUACUUCUUGGUUUCUGAAAAGUAUUUUUUUCCUAACAGUGAGGGUAGGUUGGAGAAACCUGGUAAAACCCAAGAGACAAACUGAACUACACGAUUAGAUCGAUUGGCAAGCAGUCUGGUUCCUCCCUCAUCCGAACAUAGAUCACACAUCUUGCUUGGCACUGCCCUCUGCCUCCAGCAACCUCACAUCUAUUCAUUUCUUCAAUGCCCCCUCUGGCUAAUUGAACUCAGGUCCCAAAGAACUCUCUGAUGUUUGGUCCAGCCAUGUGGAUUUUCUGGUUUUUCUCUUCAUUUCAGGGUACUUUUCCUACUAAAACAAACAAAACAAACAAAACCUUUGACCUGCCCCAGAACUCCUGAACAUGAGGAGCUCUGACCUCACACAGUGGCACCGAUUCAAGUGCUUCCACACAUUGUUAUUCUCUCAAGGUCUCAUUGGUGGUGGCUCAGACGUCUGGAUGGAACUCAAAUUCAAUAGGGUCAAACAUUUCUUCAGAGAGGAUUACAGAGAUGCCCCUGGGCAUCAGCUUGAUCAGAGCAAGGGAGGGAGGCAGGCAGUUCAGUCCUGACUGGGCUCAGUACAAUUUGGCUAUGGGAACAGCAAAUAGACAGCAUAUGAGUGCAAACUGCCAGGUCCCUCAGGGUUAAGAUAACACCAUAAUCCUAUCUGCAGUGUUCUUGAUACUUUCAAAACAUAACACACAGCCCACAUAUUCAGCCACCACUGUCAGCAAGAUAGAUUAUAGAAGAAUAAAAGGAAAUAUAACUUCUUGUUUAUAAGUAACUUAUAAAUAGAGCUUGUAAGUCAAUACUACAGUCUUGAUUUCAGCUUCGUAGUGCCAGCCGUGUGGGUUGGGAGGAACAGCGCUCGCUGUUAACCAUUUUGCAAAUGGAGACAGACAAAUAGUGCCAACCACGUUCAACUCCUACCUCUGUACUAGCCAGGACUAUGACUGCACAGCUAAAAUCUGAGUUCAAGUCUCUGGGCUUCCAAAGAUCAAGCUAUAAGGAUUUCCUUCCAACCACAAUGCCCUUCAGAGUUGAUUUAUACCCAGCUGCAGAUUAAAAAGGCCAAAGGUUCUACUUCUGUGUCACCACCCAUGGUCUUCUGUUUUUAGGAUUACUGUGUGAACAGCUAACUUCAUUCCAGUCUCUCUCCAAGUGGGGAGCAGAAGCCAUUCAGUGGGCAGCCAGGUACCCCUCCUCUUAUGCUAAGGAGCAGAGAAACCAAACUGCAGGUAGCUGUGUCCUAGAGGGAGAACCAUUAGACGAUCCCAAAUAAGCUUCCAUUCUGGAAAGACCUAUGAAAGGACACUAAGCUAGGGCUCCAGACAGGAAGGAGACUCUAGACUGUAAAGAGAUAUGGAAAAAUGGCCUCAGGGAAUCAGAAGGCCAUGCAGAGGCAGCAACGCCUGCCCUUCACCAGCAUCCAUCACGAGGAGUCGCUAGCAGUCAUUCAACCUUCUUCUCCUCGAGUGUUCAGUGACACCAGUCUGGACUUUCGUUCCCUACUCACUGGAGUCUCUGUUGACUGAUGAAACAAGGCUGUAAGGGAGUGGCCAAAUCCAUUCAACCUCGGGCUCUUACUGAGCAACGAUGUUCACUAAGAUAAAGUUUAGAAAGUACCUCCUUUUGAACCUACAUACGGUUUUUCGAUGCUCCUCAAGCUCUUCCAGUCCUCGGUAUGAUUUGACAACUGCUGCCCUUUGGCUACUGCCUUCAGACUCUUUCUAGUCUACCACAUACGCUGAGCACAUCUGGCCCUCCGUCUUCCCCACGUGCAGCCCUGGCUUUGCUGACUAGCCCCUGUUUCUUCCUUUUCUGUCUUCUUCAAGCCAUGUUUGAAUACCAUCGCCCCCCACCAACACCUCCAACCUCAAUGCUUGCCUUAUUCCGGGUAAAUAUUUUUCUUGUAAGCAUAGUUCUCGGCCUGUCACCCUUGCGUAUGUUUCCAUCGGGUUUUAUUUGCUUGUGUAGUUGUGUGACCAGGGCAUUAAGUUGUAUAUCGAUGUCACUCGACUGCCACGUCUGUAAGUUAGAAAUUGCGUUGUGUUUUCUGGUGUAACUGCAGCACCACGUAUGUGGAGAAUACUUACUCCAGAGGAGGGAUUUGGGAAUCAAUAUGCUAAAUGGCUGAAAAAAUGGAUUUUAUGUAAGAUUUUAUCCAUUUGUCACGGUUAAGGUUUUUUGUUUGUUUGUUUGCUUGCUUUUUUUUUUUUUUCCAACGUGGCACAGACUAGAGCUAUCUGGGCGGAAGAAUCUCGACUGAGGAAACGCCCUGCAAGUCUGGCCUGGAGGCAAGCCCAUUGGAGCAUUUUCUUAAUUAGAGACAGAUGGGGAGGGCCCAGAGACCCUUUCUUUCUCAAGUUCCUUUUUGGUCACAGUGCUUUCUCACAGCAAUAGAAACCCUAAGGCACCACGUUUGUGCCUCCUGGAGUUCUUAAGCGGUGUCUGGUAAAUAGUAAGGAGCAAAUAUUUGCUUAAGUCAAUGGCAAAUAGUGAAAUUGAUUCUUUAAUGGCAGCGUGAACAAGGAAGAAAAUUAAAAUAUGACUAUCACAGCCCUCUCUGUAACCUCGGUUCAACUGAGGCUAUCUGAGAAACAUCGUCAAUAUUUUUGCCUGCAGACCUGCGGGCAGGAGGGGGGAGGGGAAGGCCAGACAGGCCGGGCAUCGGCGAUGCCGUUUGCCCUUUAUCUCGCAUCCUGGAGCCCUGGCAGGAGUCAGAUCCUUUGCCGGAUCCCUGGUCCUGUUGGUGUUUGUUCGGUGCACUUUGAUCCUCCUGGAUGCACACACUGCCCACUGCAAACCGGGACCAUUCUUGUCCAUGCUUCACAGUCCCCAGCCUCCGUCCUGAUGCUGACGUCUAUGCUAGCCUCUGCGGUGGUACGAUGCUCCUCUUCUCAGCUUUGCAGACCCAAGUGCCCAUCGCCCAGUGAGGCUUUCCUGUCGUGCAUACUGCUCCCAGUUCCUCAUUCCAGGCAGAAUGUAAAUCUCUAACCCUGCCCUGUCACAAGGCCACCAACAUACCACUGUCCUGUGACCUUCGUGCAGGUGCCACUUGUUUUAUAUUCCUGUUUCCAUGCCCUUGAAAAGAACGUUUCCAUUAAGUAAUCACUCCCUUCCUCUGUUCAAAAGCCUCCGGUGACUGCAAGUGUGCUUUCCAUCUCUAAGGGCUUGACUUAUUCUGGACGCUCCCUAUAACUGGGACCCUGCCGUCCGUGACUUUUGUGUCUAGAGUCUUUCCUACUUAGUGUGUUUUCAUUUUAACCGUGCUAGCAUUCACCAGUACUUCAUUUCAUUCUGCUGUUAAUAUUCCUCUGCGUGCACACAUCACAGGGUACUCCUCUGGUGCUGGGUAUUUGAUUGCUACUGCCUUUGCCCUUGUGAAUGGUGCUGCUGUGAAGUGUAGGUGUGUGCUGGUCAGAGUGCUUGCUUUUAAUUAACAUGGAUUUGUACUCAGGAGUGGAAUUGUUGGGUUAUGUAGUAAUUUUCAGGUUUAACUGCUUGAGACACCACCAAACUGUUUCCAUGCGGUUGAACACCGCUAUGUUACCAAGGGCUUCAGAAACCCUACACAUGUGGGAUUCGGUUUCUCCAUAUCCUCACCACACUCAGUAUGUUUAGGGUAUAACCUUUCUGAUAUGCAUAACUAGAUGGUAUCUUUGAUUUUGCAUAUUUUUAGCGAAGGAAUAUAUUUAAAACAUUGUCUAUUUGGGGUGCUUUGUGCAAGCACUGGUGUGUACAGUCAUGGAUUCGCUUGUCUGUUGAACAAGCGUUCUUCGACCAUCUUCUCUAGAGAGGGUCCUGGGUUCUAUGCAGGAUGUAAGAUGAGGCAUUCACUGAAAGCUUUCUGCCAGCUUGAGGCAAUGAGAUGCUCCCCUCGGUGUGAAUUUGCAAUCGAUUCUGUCAUUAGCAGUUCUGCAGGGGGAUGAGGAAUGCUAAAGAAUGUGAGGACUUGGCCUCGCAUUAUUGAAGGAAGAUGGCAGACUUGGCUGGAAUCCAGGAGCCAAGGUCCUGAGAGUUCACGAAAUGCCAUUGUCAACUUCACAAUUUCGUCCAGAACGAGCUGUCAGUUCAACAAGAGAGGACUUGCUGGUGGCCUCCCAGCUUCUCUGAGGAUGCACCUGCUUCAAGGAUCUGGAGUGCAGUCUGGAUGGCGUCACAACCACUUGAUCUUCCUUAAGGAAUGCCCAAGUCUUUGGUGAGAAGACACUUCUGGAUGAGUCUGGGGCUUUGCCAGAGAGUAUUAACUAAUGAGAAAAGGCCAAGAUGGAUGUGGAUGAUGUCAUCCCAGCCUGUGAGCCGGGAUCCAGGAGUGAGUAAGAGGGAGAAGGCGAGCAACCUUGGUUGGCACCCUUCUCCUGUGUCAUGGUCUGAUGAGAUCUGAGCAACCUUGAGCUCCCACCACCACAGACCCACCCAGAGCCGUGUGAGCAACAGUGCCACCCACACCACAGGGCAGCACCUCCACGUCUUUCCUGUUGUGAUGGAUCGAAGAUCCCCGAACCCUGAGCCCCGGAGAACUGUGCUGUGGCUGCUUCUGAAGCCAUUCUACCACAGGGAGAG
rnacentral:sRNA from 1 species